rnacentral:rRNA from 1 species
UACGGGGGGGGCAAGCGUUGUUCGGAAUUACUGGGCGUAAAGGGUUCGUAGGUGGCCGGCUAAGUCAGACGUGAAAUCCCUCAGCUUAACUGGGGAACUGCGUCUGAGACUGGUCGGCUCGAGGGCAGGAGAGGAACGUGGAAUUCCAGGUGUAGCGGUGAAAUGCGUAGAUAUCUGGAGGAACACCGGUGGCGAAGGCGGCAUUCUGGACUGUAACUGACACUGAGGAACGAAAGCCAGGGGAGCAAACGGG